rnacentral:rRNA from 1 species
UACGUAGGGGGCUAGCGUUGUCCGGAAUCAUUGGGCGUAAAGCGCGUGUAGGCGGUCCGGUAAGUCCGCUGUGAAAGUCGGGGGGCUCAACCCUCGAAUGCCGGUGGAUACUGUCGGGCUAGAGUGCGGAAGAGGCGAGUGGAAUUCCUGGUGUAGCGGUGAAAUGCGCAGAUAUCAGGAGGAACACCGAUGGCGAAGGCAGGUCUCUGGGCCGAUACUGACGCUGAGGAGCGAAAGCGUGGGGAGCGAACAGG